AGUGAACGCUGGCGGUAGGCCUAACGCAUGCAAGUCGAACGGCAGCACAGUAAGAGCUUGCUCUUACGGGUGGCGAGUGGCGGACGGGUGAGGAAUACAUCGGAAUCUACUUUUUCGUGGGGGAUAACGUAGGGAAACUUACGCUAAUACCGCAUACGACCUACGGGUGAAAGCAGGGGAUCUUCGGACCUUGCGCGAUUGAAUGAGCCGAUGUCGGAUUAGCUAGUUGGCGGGGUAAAGGCCCACCAAGGCGACGAUCCGUAGCUGGUCUGAGAGGGUGAUCAGCCACACUGGAACUGAGACACGGUCCAGACUCCUACGGGAGGCAGCAGUGGGGAAUAUUGGACAAUGGGCGCAAGCCUGAUCCAGCCAUACCGCGUGGGUGAAGAAGGCCUUCGGGUUGUAAAGCCCUUUUGUUGGGAAAGAAAAGCAGCAGGUUAAUACCCCGCUGUUCUGACGGUACCCAAAGAAUAAGCACCGGCUAACUUCGUG
rnacentral:rRNA from 1 species